rnacentral:rRNA from 1 species
AUUGAACGCUGGCGGCAGGCCUAACACAUGCAAGUCGAGCGGAUGAAGGGAGCUUGCUCCUGGAUUCAGCGGCGGACGGGUGAGUAAUGCCUAGGAAUCUGCCUGGUAGUGGGGGAUAACGUCCGGAAACGGGAGCUAAUACCGCAUACGUCCUGAGGGAGAAAGUGGGGGAUCUUCGGACAUCAAGCUAUCAGAUGAGCCUAGGUCGGAUUAGCUAGUUGGUGGGGUAAAGGCCUACCAAGGCGACGAUCCGUAACUGGUCUGAGAGGAUGAUCAGUCACACUGGAACUGAGACACGGUCCAGACUCCUACGGGAGGCAGCAGUGGGGAAUAUUGGACAAUGGGCGAAAGCCUGAUCCAGCCAUGCCGCGUGUGGGAAGAAGGUCUUCGGAUUGUAAAGCACUUUAAGUGGGGAGGAAGGGCAGUAAGUUAAUACCUUGCUGUUUUGACGUUACCAACAGAAUAAGCACCGGCUAACUUCGUG